rnacentral:rRNA from 1 species
GAUGAACGCUGGCGGCGUGCCUAAUACAUGCAAGUCGAGCGAACGGACGAGAAGCUUGCUUCUCUGAUGUUAGCGGCGGACGGGUGAGUAACACGUGGAUAACCUACCUAUAAGACUGGGAUAACUUCGGGAAACCGGAGCUAAUACCGGAUAAUAUUUUGAACCGCAUGGUUCAAAAGUGAAAGACGGUCUUGCUGUCACUUAUAGAUGGAUCCGCGCUGCAUUAGCUAGUUGGUAAGGUAACGGCUUACCAAGGCAACGAUGCAUAGCCGACCUGAGAGGGUGAUCGGCCACACUGGAACUGAGACACGGUCCAGACUCCUACGGGAGGCAGCAGUAGGGAAUCUUCCGCAAUGGGCGAAAGCCUGACGGAGCAACGCCGCGUGAGUGAUGAAGGUCUUCGGAUCGUAAAACUCUGUUAUUAGGGAAGAACAUAUGUGUAAGUAACUGUGCACAUCUUGACGGUACCUAAUCAGAAAGCCACGGCUAACUACGUGCCAGCAGCCGCGGUAAUACGUAGGUGGCAAGCGUUAUCCGGAAUUAUUGGGCGUAAAGCGCGCGUAGCGGUUUUUAAGUCUGAUGUGAAAGCCCACGGCUCACCCGUGGAGGGUCAUUGGAAACUGGAAAACUUGAGUGCAGAAGAGGAAAGUGGAAUUCCAUGUGUAGCGGUGAAAUGCGCAGAGAUAUGGAGGAACACCAGUGGCGAAGGCGACUUUCUGGUCUGUAACUGACGCUGAUGUGCGAAAGCGUGGGGAUCAAACAGGAUUAGAUACCCUGGUAGUCCACGCCGUAAACGAUGAGUGCUAAGUGUUAGGGGGUUUCCGCCCCUUAGUGCUGCAGCUAACGCAUUAAGCACUCCGCCUGGGGAGUACGACCGCAAGGUUGAAACUCAAAGGAAUUGACGGGGACCCGCACAAGCGGUGGAGCAUGUGGUUUAAUUCGAAGCAACGCGAAGAACCUUACCAAAUCUUGACAUCCUUUGACAACUCUAGAGAUAGAGCUUUCCCCUUCGGGGGACAAAGUGACAGGUGGUGCAUGGUUGUCGUCAGCUCGUGUCGUGAGAUGUUGGGUUAAGUCCCGCAACGAGCGCAACCCUUAAGCUUAGUUGCCAUCAUUAAGUUGGGCACUCUAAGUUGACUGCCGGUGACAAACCGGAGGAAGGUGGGGAUGACGUCAAAUCAUCAUGCCCCUUAUGAUUUGGGCUACACACGUGCUACAAUGGACAAUACAAAGGGCAGCGAAACCGCGAGGUCAAGCAAAUCCCAUAAAGUUGUUCUCAGUUCGGAUUGUAGUCUGCAACUCGACUACAUGAAGCUGGAAUCGCUAGUAAUCGUAGAUCAGCAUGCUACGGUGAAUACGUUCCCGGGUCU